AUUGAACGCUGGCGGCAUGCCUUACACAUGCAAGUCGAACGGCAGCGCGGGAGCAAUCCUGGCGGCGAGUGGCGAACGGGUGAGUAAUACAUCGGAACGUGCCCAAUCGUGGGGGAUAACGCAGCGAAAGCUGUGCUAAUACCGCAUACGAUCUACGGAUGAAAGCAGGGGAUCGCAAGACCUUGCGCGAAUGGAGCGGCCGAUGGCAGAUUAGGUAGUUGGUGAGGUAAAGGCUCACCAAGCCUUCGAUCUGUAGCUGGUCUGAGAGGACGACCAGCCACACUGGGACUGAGACACGGCCCAGACUCCUACGGGAGGCAGCAGUGGGGAAUUUUGGACAAUGGGCGAAAGCCUGAUCCAGCCAUGCCGCGUGCAGGAUGAAGGCCUUCGGGUUGUAAACUGCUUUUGUACGGAACGAAACGGUCCUUUCUAAUAAAGAAGGCUAAUGACGGUACCGUAAGAAUAAGCACCGGCUAACUACGUG
rnacentral:rRNA from 1 species